UACGUAGGGGGCUAGCGUUAUCCGGAUUUACUGGGCGUAAAGGGUGCGUAGGUGGUUUCUUAGGUCAGAAGUGAAAGGCUACGGCUCAACCGUAGUAAGCUUUUGAAACUAAGAGACUAGAGUGCAGGAGAGGUAAGUGGAAUUCCUAGUGUAGCGGUGAAAUGCGUAGAUAUUAGGAAGAACACCAGUGGCGAAGGCGACUCUCUGGACUGUAACUGACACUGAGGCGCGAAAGCUAGGGGAGCAAACA
rnacentral:rRNA from 1 species